UACAGGGGGUGCAAACGUUGCUCGGAAUCAUUGGGCGUAAAGCGCACGUAGGCGGUUCGUUAUGUCGGAUGUGAAAGCCCUUGGCUUAACCGAGGAAGUGCAUCCGAAACUGGCGAGCUAGAGUACUAAAGAGGAUCGCGGAAUUCCCGGUGUAGAGGUGAAAUUCGUAGAUAUCGGGAGGAACACCGGUGGCGAAGGCGGCGAUCUGGGUAGAUACUGACGCUGAAGUGCGAAAGCGUGGGGAGCAAAACAGG
rnacentral:rRNA from 1 species